rnacentral:tRNA from 2 species
GGGAUCGUGGUGCAGGGGUAAGCAUGGUUGCCUCUCACCCAGUCGGCUAAGGUUCGAUCCCAUACGGUCCCG